rnacentral:tRNA from 1 species
GCCUGGGUGGCUCAGUCGGUGGGGCAUUCGACUUUGGCUCAGGUCACGAUCUCACUCUCCGUGGGUUCGAGCCCCACGUCAGGCU